GUAAAGCACUUUCAGUAGGGAGGAAGGUAGUGUAGUUAACACCUGCAUUAUUUGACGUUACCUACAGAAGAAAGCACCGGCUAACUCCGUGCCAGCAGCCGCGGUAAUACGGAGGGUGCGAGCGUUAAUCGGAAUUACUGGGCGUAAAGCGCAUGUAGGCGGCCUGUUAAGUCAGAUGUGAAAGCCCGGGGCUUAACCUCGGAAUUGCAUUUGAAACUGGCAGGCUAGAGUCUUGUAGAGGGGGGUAGGAAUUUCAGGUGUAGCGGUGAAAUGCGUAGAGAUCUGAAGGAAUACCAGUGGCGAAGGCGGCCCCCUGGACAAAGACUGACGCUCAGAUGCGAAAGCGUGGGGAGCAAACAGGAUUAGAUACCCUGGUAG
rnacentral:rRNA from 1 species